rnacentral:rRNA from 1 species
UACGAAGGGGGCUAGCGUUGCUCGGAAUCACUGGGCGUAAAGGGUGCGUAGGCGGGUCUUUAAGUCAGAGGUGAAAUCCUGGAGCUCAACUCCAGAACUGCCUUUGAUACUGAAGAUCUUGAGUUCGGGAGAGGUGAGUGGAGCUGCGAGUGUAGAGGUGAAAUUCGUAGAUAUUCGCAAGAACACCAGUGGCGAAGGCGGCUCACUGGCCCGAUACUGACGCUGAGGCACGGAAGCGUGGGGAGCAAACAGG